rnacentral:ribozyme from 1 species
GAGUGAAAAGCACAAAGAACAAAGACAAAGAAGGUAAGUGAAAUUAAGUAACGCACGCUUCUUUGUCGUUUGUGCUUUGUUCUUUUUCACCUCUUUUCCCUCUUUGUUGCUGU